rnacentral:lncRNA from 1 species
UGUUCGUUUAGUCUGCAAAUUUGACCCAUUUUGACUAGUUAGUUGACAAAUGUAGACCCUUUUGACAAGUUAGUCGGUAAAUUUAAACAGUCAGUUGGUAUGUAUCAUUAUGGCAGUCGGUAAAUGUCGUUAUGGCAAAUCUUAAAAAACGAAGACCUUUCUUUUUAUUUAUUUUUUAGUCGGCAAAAGUUGUAAUGGCACCACCCACCUACGUGAUACCUACUCGUGCCGGCCCUGUGUACUAGUAUAGAUUAGUGUAACAACAUGGUUUUUUCUGUAUUUCUUUAUAUUAUCUGUAUUUUAGUGUUUAAAAAAAGCUGCUGCUGCAAAAUGUACCUGCAAACAAUGUGUUAAAUGAUUCGGAUGAAAUAGUUCUACUGGUAAGCCAACAAGCUAAGUCUAAUCUUGCAUUGAAAAAAAUAUUGUUUGGACUUUAGGAUAGCAGCAACUUCCAAAGACCAAGAAAAAAAUUAA